rfam:Picea glauca, whole genome shotgun sequence.
ACAUGCCUACAACAUAGCGUUAAUGCACUAGAUCCUAUUAGAACUCCACAGUUAAGCACACCUGGGCUAGAGUAGUAUUAGGAUGGGUGAUUGCUCGAGAAGUCCUAGUGUUUUACAUGCC